UGGCCACAUUACAUUGAAACACCAGUUCCUGUACAAUCGCAAAAGUUAAGCAACAUCAAGCCUGGUCAGUAACUAGAUGGGUGACCAUUUGGGAAUACCAGGUGCUGUAAG